CCUCGGUCUCCAUAAUCUGUAA
rnacentral:miRNA from 1 species